CAAGUUUGCCAUACAUUUGUUGUUCUUUUUCCUUAGCAGCAGUGCUGCAUUUUUUCCUUUUCCCUUCUUUUUGGUGCCUCAGCCUUUCUGUUCCUACAUUAACGCUUAAACGUUAAUCACGUUUCUAUCAACCCCAUUUAUAUCUUUUCUAUUUCUUUUUCAUCAACGUAUUAUAAAACCUAGCCGUCUCUCGAACUCAGAAACGCUUUAAGAUCAACACAUCCUUCUCUUUGUUCAUCAAGCACGCUAGCAUUGGUUUGUCACUUCGGUUCAACAAUACACAUCAUCUUCUAUUAUCAUACGCGUUGGAAACGAAUUUGACCCGUCUAUUGUUCGUGCUCCAGAGGCAAAUCAGGAUUAGUUGCUUGCCGGUAUUCACGUGGAUUAGCAAGCAGGUUAUGAUCUGAGAGAGUCUGGUGAUCUCCGCAUUUACUUUUCCUCGGAGGUUCCAUUUAUUUUAGUAGAACUGUGAAAAUGUUUUAUUCUUAGACCGCAGUAGUAACUAGACGUCUUCAUUAUUAUUAUAUUUUUGUCGGAUUGGUUUGACUGGUUUUAUUGCUUUGGCAUGUUAUAUCAUUUAAUUUAGUUUAUGAUAAAUCUAUUUCAGACUCGGAAUUGGAUAAGCAUGUUAUAUUAACUGUUGAUUAUUAUAACUGCUAGAUUUAGGCUGA